GAAACUCAGAUGGAGGGCAGGAAGUGAAGUAGCUUCAUCUGCCGUAUGUUAAAAUGCCUAUGUUUUGUGUAAUUUACGGCUGUUCCAAUCGUUCUAACCGAGAAAAAGGAAAGGGGGUUUAUAGAGUUCCAAAGAUUGUCGUUCAUAAAGGUGAAAAAUGUAAAAAUCUCACAAAACAACGACGGAAAAAAGUGGAUUUUAAGCGUACGUCUGCCGCCGGGAGGAGCAAACUCUGCUAAUGCCCGCAGCGAUCACUUGGUCGGAGGCAUGUCUGCCACGAGAGCAGAUGAAGAUGUUUAAGAAAUACCAACAAACACGGUCGGAAUGUACAGAGGCUAUUGGAUCUCCAAUAGACAGCUGAGAGCCUGGAUCUGACGCAGACAGCCGAGAGCUCCGAACCGAAGCAGCCAGCUGACAACUACUCACAAUCAGAGGGCAUCAGUGGGAAAGGGACAUUAAAUGAUCAAGGCUAUGCAGAUGCCGGAUGCCAGACUGAGCUGAUGAUGGAUGACAUUGAGAAGAUGAAGCAUGUUCUGAGACAUAACACAACAGAACUGAGAGAUCUUUGGACCAAACCACUAAGAUGACAAAGUUCUAGACAGGGCUCCCCAACUUCUUAGUUUUAAUUCAGAUUUUUUAGCUGUGCAAACCCUACAUCACAUGUGGUCCUAUGUCUGUGCUGUCUAAAUUUGAAUAGUUCAUUUUAGUUUGCUAAAUAAAUGUAAGAGCUGUCCAAAUUGAAAACGACCUUCACUGACAUCUUAAAACACAUCAGUGCCCUUUGUUUUGCUUUAAAAUGCACACAAGUAAUGUUUUUAGUAAGGCAUGUUUGUUAAAACUAGUUAUAUUUCAUAAUUAAACUAAGGCCUAGUCCUGGCUGAAAGAUUUAGCUUGAAGAUUUAU